AACGCAGCGAAGGGCGAUAAGUAAUGUGAAUUGCAGAAUUCAGUGAAUCAUCGAAUCUUUGAACGCACAUUGCGCCCCUUGGUAUUCCGAGGGGCAUGCCUGUUCGAGCGUCAUUUCAACCCUCAAGCACAGCUUGGUCUUGGGCCGCGCCGCUAACCCGGCGGGUACUUAAAAUCAGUGGCGGUGCCGGUGGGCUCUACGCGUAGUAAAUCUCCUCGCGAUUGACGUUCCCCCGGUGGCCUGCCACGAACCCCCAAUUUUUUACAGGUUGACCUCGGAUCAGGUAGGGAUACCCGCUGAACUUAA
rnacentral:rRNA from 1 species